UUGUGACCUUACCUAUGUUCUGUUGCCUCGGCGGCGUGGUCAGCGCCCCCUCUGAAAAGAGGACGAUGCCCUCCCGCCGGCAGCACCAAACUCUUUGAAUUUUACAGCGGAUUACAGUUCUGAUUUGAAAACAAAAAACAAGUUAAAACUUUCAACAACGGAUCUCUUGGUUCUGGCAUCGAUGAAGAACGCAGCGAAAUGCGAUAAGUAAUGUGAAUUGCAGAAUUCAGUGAAUCAUCGAAUCUUUGAACGCACAUUGCGCCCGGCAGUAAUCUGCCGGGCAUGCCUGUCCGAGCGUCAUUUCAACCCUCGAACCUCCGUUUCCUCAGGGAAGCUCAGGGUCGGUGUUGGGGCGCUACGGCGAGUCUUCGCGACCCUCCGUAGGCCCUGAAAUACAGUGGCGGUCCCGCCGCGGUUGCCUUCUGCGUAGUAAGUCUCUUUUGCAAGCUCGCAUUGGGUCCCGGCGGAGGCCUGCCGUCAAACCACCUAUAACUCCAGAUGGUUUGACCUCGGAUCAGGUAGGGUUACCCGCUGAACUUAAGCAUAUCAAUAAGCGAGAGAAAAAAGAAAA
rnacentral:rRNA from 1 species